rnacentral:rRNA from 1 species
UACGGAGGAUCCAAGCGUUAUCCGGAUUUAUUGGGUUUAAAGGGUGCGUAGGCGGCUUAUUAAGUCAGGCGUGAAAUCCCCAGGCUCAACUUGGGAACUGCGUCUGAUACUGGUUGGCUUGAAUUCGGGAGAGGGAUGCAGAAUUCCUAGUGUAGCGGUGAAAUGCGCAGAUAUUAGGAGGAACACCGGUGGCGAAGGCGCCACUCUGGGCCGAAAACUGACGCUGAGGAGCGAAAGCGUGGGGAGCAAACAGG